GACGAACGCUGGCGGCGUGCUUAACACAUGCAAGUCGAACGGAAAGGCCCUGCUUUUGUGGGGUGCUCGAGUGGCGAACGGGUGAGUAACACGUGAGUAACCUGCCCUUGACUUUGGGAUAACUUCAGGAAACUGGGGCUAAUACCGGAUAGGAGCUCCUGCUGCAUGGUGGGGGUUGGAAAGUUUCGGCGGUUGGGGAUGGACUCGCGGCUUAUCAGCUUGUUGGUGGGGUAGUGGCUUACCAAGGCUUUGACGGGUAGCCGGCCUGAGAGGGUGACCGGACACAGUGGGACUGAGAUACGGCACAGACUCCUACGGGAGGCAGCAGGGGGGAAUAUUGCACAAUGGGCGGAAGCCUGAAGCAGCAACGCCGCGGGCGGGAUGACGGCGUUCGGGUUGUAAACCGCUUGCGCCUGUGACGAAGCGUGAGUGACGGUAAUGGGUAAAGAAGCACCGGCUAACUACGUG
rnacentral:rRNA from 1 species